rnacentral:rRNA from 1 species
UACGUAGGGGACCGAGCGUUGUCCGGAAUCAUUGGGCGUAAAGAGCGUGUAGGCGGCCUACUUAAGUCCUGCGUGAAAUCUUGCGGCUCAACCGCAAGCGGUCGUGGGAAACUGGGUGGCUAGAGUGCGGGAGAGGAGAGUGGAAUUCCUGGUGUAGCGGUGGAAUGCGCAGAUAUCAGGAAGAACACCCGUGGCGAAGGCGGCUCUCUGGAACGCAACUGACGCUGAGACGCGAAAGCGUGGGGAGCAAACAGG